rnacentral:rRNA from 1 species
UACGGAGGGUGCAAGCGUUGCUCGGAAUCAUUGGGCGUAAAGCGUACGCAGGCUGUUCGUUAAGUCGGGUGUGAAAGCCCGGGGCUCAACCCCGGAACUGCGCCCGAAACUGGCGAGCUUGAGUGCGGGAGAGGGAAGCGGAAUUCCUGGUGUAGAGGUGAAAUUCGUAGAUAUCAGGAAGAACACCCGUGGCGAAAGCGGCUCUCUGGAACGGUACUGACGCUGAGACGCGAAAGCGUGGGGAGCGAACAGG